UACGUAGGGUGCGAGCGUUAAUCGGAAUUACUGGGCGUAAAGCGUGCGUAGGUGGUUCGUUGUGUCUGUGGUGAAAGCCCCGGGCUUAACCUGGGAAUGGCCAUGGAAACUGGCGAGCUGGAGUGUGGCAGAGGGGGGUGGAAUUCCACGUGUAGCAGUGAAAUGCGUAGAGAUGUGGAGGAACACCGAUGGCGAAGGCAGCCCCCUGGGCUAACACUGACGCUCAUGCACGAAAGCGUGGGGAGCAAACAGG
rnacentral:rRNA from 1 species